rnacentral:rRNA from 1 species
GACGAACGCUGGCGGCGUGCUUAACACAUGCAAGUCGAACGGAAAGGCCCUGCUUUUGUGGGGUGCUCGAGUGGCGAACGGGUGAGUAACACGUGAGUAACCUGCCCUUGACUUUGGGAUAACUUCAGGAAACUGGGGCUAAUACCGGAUAGGAGCUCCUGCUGCAUGGUGGGGGUUGGAAAGUUUCGGCGGUUGGGGAUGGACUCGCGGCUUAUCAGCUUGUUGGUGGGGUAGUGGCUUACCAAGGCUUUGACGGGUAGCCGGCCUGAGAGGGUGACCGGCCACAUUGGGACUGAGAUACGGCCCAGACUCCUACGGGAGGCAGCAGUGGGGAAUAUUGCACAAUGGGCGGAAGCCUGAUGCAGCAACGCCGCGUGCGGGAUGACGGCCUUCGGGUUGUAAACCGCUUUCGCCUGUGACGAAGCGUGAGUGACGGUAAUGGGUAAAGAAGCACCGGCUAACUACGUGCCAGCAGCCGCGGUGAUACGUAGGGUGCGAGCGUUGUCCGGAUUUAUUGGGCGUAAAGGGCUCGUAGGUGGUUGAUCGCGUCGGAAGUGUAAUCUUGGGGCUUAACCCUGAGCGUGCUUUCGAUACGGGUUGACUUGAGGAAGGUAGGGGAGAAUGGAAUUCCUGGUGGAGCGGUGGAAUGCGCAGAUAUCAGGAGGAACACCAGUGGCGAAGGCGGUUCUCUGGGCCUUUCCUGACGCUGAGGAGCGAAAGCGUGGGGAGCGAACAGGCUUAGAUACCCUGGUAGUCCACGCUGUAAACGGUGGGUACUAGGUGUGGGGUCCAUUCCACGGGUUCCGUGCCGUAGCUAACGCUUUAAGUACCCCGCCUGGGGAGUACGGCCGCAAGGCUAAAACCCAAAGGAAUUGACGGGGCCCCGCACAAGCGGCGGAGCAUGCGGAUUAAUUCGAUGCAACGCGUAGAACCUUACCUGGGUUUGACAUGGAUCGGGAGUGCUCAGAGAUGGGUGUGCCUCUUUUGGGGUCGGUUCACAGGUGGUGCAUGCCUGUCGUCAGCUCGUGUCGUGAGAUGUUGGGUUAAGUCCCGCAACGAGCGCAACCCUUGUUCACUGUUGCCAGCACGUUAUGGUGGGGACUCAGUGGAGACCGCCGGGGUCAACUCGGAGGAAGGUGGGGAUGACGUCAAGUCCUCAUGCCCCUUAUGUCCAGGGCUUCACGCAUGCUACAAUGGCUGGUACAGAGAGUGGCGAGCCUGUGAGGGUGAGCGAAUCUCGGAAAGCCGGUCUCAGUUCGGAUUGGGGUCUGCAACUCGACCUCAUGAAGUCGGAGUCGCUAGUAAUCGCAGAUCAGCAACGCUGCGGUGAAUACGUUCCCGGGGCU